rnacentral:tmRNA from 1 species
GCUCUUCCGCCGGGGCGAAUGAAGCCCUAUAUUGAUCGUGUCCCCGCAAGGGGACUAUGGCGAUAAAUUGACUCCAGAAUAAGCCAUCCGGACCCGGGGGCGGUACCCGGCGCCUCCACCACAGCCCGCGCGUGACGCGGGUUGCGGCGGGGGCGAAAUAGGAUCGACGGGGGUGUAAAAGGUGUUCUUUUGCCCGGCAUGAUACCGCCGUUAUCGGGUCAAAACUGUAGUUGCCAAUGACAACUAUGCUCCGGUGGCUGUCGCAGCGUAAGCUGUGCCAGUAUCGGGAAUUAAGUCCUGAGGGGUAGCACUUUCAGGCGGGGCUCGGAGGCGCCUGGCAACAGAAGCCUCCACU